GUAGGAUUUAGGAUGAGCAUUAUUGGAUGUUAGGUAGUGUAAAUGAUUGUAUAAACAAUUUAGGUUUUUAAGAAUGAAGAAGAUAUACCAAUAUAGGUUUAUACUUAGAGAAUGGUGAACCAAAAUAACGUUAAGAAGUUUCUUGAGAAUAUGUAAAUAGAAUUCGUUUCUGAAAAUCGAUGUUGUCCAAUCCUCCAGGUAUCUUCAGUAUUGGGAUACACUACUACGUUCUUGUGUAUUACGCUCUUGUGCACUGUGGUCUUAUACGCUGCUGCUGCUCUUGUACACUGACGGUUUUUGGUACACUACUCCUUUUGUACAUACUACGCGUUUUGUACAGGCUACACCUUUUGUACACACUACGCCUUUAGUAUACACUACGCCUUUAGUACACACUACGCGUUUUGUACAGGCUACGCCUUUUGUACACACUACGCCUUUAGUACACACUACGCCUUUAGUACACGCUACGCCUUUUGUACAUACUACGCGUUUAGUACACACUACGCCUUUAGUAUACACUACGCCUUUAGUACACACUACGCGUUUAGUACAUACUACGCGUUUAGUACACACUACGCGGAUGCUGUGUGGGUGUUAUGGUUUUUAUACACUUUUCCCAAUACAUAAGGUCAUCUGGUAAGGUCAGGUCGCUUAUGUGACCCGAGUGUUUAUUGCGUAAUUUUGGUAUUUGAAUUGGUAUUUAGUUUUUAAUUGGUCACUUGCAUUUGGUUUCACAUUCUCUAAGUAUGCCUAUAAUUGGAAAUCUAUACUUUAUACAUUUAUUAUAAUAUAACACUGUGAUAUUUAUAUAUUACAAAUUAUUCCGAUGACUAUUUGUUCCGCAAAAUAUUUGUCCCAAUUACUAUUUGUUCCACAAACUAUAUGUUCCACGUUUGGAACAAGUAUUUUGUGGAACAAAUUGUAAAAUUAUAGCCGAAUUCCAUCUGUAUUUUUAUUUUUAAAUAAUCAUACAGAAAUUCACCGUAAUCAGUCUUUAAUUGAAUAACAUAUCUUUUAUUAAGAUAACAUAGGUACCGCUACGUUCUGCAGCAUACAGAAUACAGAUGAUGGUACAUUGAUAAAUGACAGGGAAGCCAUUUAAACCCAACCGUUAUUGCCGAUCAUUUAAAUAUUGAAUACAAUUAAAGAGUUUUUAAAGGACCUUUAUAAUCGUCGGCGGAAUGCUUCAAAUUGUUAUACAUUUUAAUUGAUAUCGUUAUACUUCAAACUACUCUAAAAAACAUAUCUAUACCUACUCUUUAUAAAUAAAAAUAAAAAUUCACAGAAAUAACUGUGACGUUAGGUACCUACUAAUAUUAUUAAUAAUUAUGCAUGGUUAUAUUAUUAUUAUAUACAUAAAUAUUAUUAUCAUAGGCUGACGCACAAAAUAUAAAACAAAAUAUUAUUAAACUACCUAUAUAAUAUUUUCUGCGUUUUAAAUAUAGAUCUGCCUUUAACACAGUAACACAGACUACAGUAUAUUAUUAUUUUUAAGUAUAGGUAUUAACAUUUGUUAAAGAUUUAUGUGACCUAUAUUUUCAAUAUAAUAUUGUAGUAUCUUUAUUUGUUUUAUAUGCAUAGAGUUUAGGACGUAAAGUAAUGAAUUCUAAUAAGAUUUCAGAUUUUAAUUCGUCUUUAAAAUAACCUGGUUGAUUUUUUCUACGAUCACUAUAAUAAUAGUGAUUUUUCGGAUAAUUUGAAGUAUCAAAGUAAGAAAAUAAUUUUCGUUUUACGUCAUCGAAAAAGUUAGAAGUUCUUAUUUCGUAAACUAACGAAUCAGUAUCUGAAUACACAAUGUUAAUUUUAUUUCUAUACAUAUUUUUCAUUACAUUAUAAUGAAAAUCAUACAUUAUUGAUUUUGAAAUAUCCAAUAUUGCAAAUCCUACAUAAAUAGGCUUAUCAAAUUUAAUUUUUUCCUUAUUUAUAUGAAUGGCCAUUAAAUUUUUUGUGUAGGUACCUGGUACAUAGUUCGAUCUUUAAAUGUUGUUUUCGACAUUAAUCGAUGUGCUUUUUUCUCGUUAGAUACUAGAAACAUUGACAUACGUUUUCUGACAUUUUCCAUAGACACUAUUCACUAACAGCACAGUUUGAUGAAUACCUCGGUCCACGUUGUUGCGCGUUGAAUAAGUAGGUUGUAGUUUAUCAAUUAAAAAUGAAUUAAGAACUAAACUGUUUCUUCAAAUUAAUAUUGUAUUUAAUUUAGAUUAAUUAUUAAUAAAACUUAACUAAUAUCAAAAACCUCGUUUGAUGAUAGUGUUGUAAUAAAGUCAGCGACUCACACAAGUACUGAAAGGCUGAUGAUAAUAGACGAUAAUCAACUCAAGAGCUCUUUGUAAAAUGACUAUAAGUCUAUAAAAUAUUGUAUGAUUAUGGACCAGAUUUAUAGUCUGAUCCAAUGGUGUGAUAUGUAAUCACGCCAUAUUACACUUUGAUCACAGAUAUUUUUUAUAGAAUAGGUAAAACCUAUGAUCACGCUAUAUUAAACUUUGAUUACAGUUAUUUUUUAUAGAAUAGGUAAAACUAUGAUCACACCAUAUGAUACCACAACCUUAUAAUAAAUCCGUAUAUAAGUGAUCAGUAGACAUUGAUUAUAGUUAGUUAAUUUGUUUUAAUAUGUUGACUGUUGAGUUAAAUCUCAACAUAGCCUAUAAAAUUUUAUGUUUCGUCGUUUCAUACCGUAAUAUAUCCGUUUGCUACAAGUCGAUAACAAACCAAGUAACACAAUUUGAUCAGGUAAAUGUUUUUAAUCAAUCUGUUAUACUAAAAAUUUAUUAAACUUAUACUGAUUAUCAUUUUUAUUUAAGGUAUAUAUAAAAAAAAUAUAUAAAAUAAUAUAUCGUACUAUACUAAUGUAUCUGCAGGCGAAAUCUCUUCAAAUGAUGAUGUAAGUACCUGAGUAUAUACCUUUUUGUUUAUGUAUGUGUGUUUGUAUGAUAUUAAUAUAUUAUUAUUAAAUAAAUUUUAAUAUCCUUAAUACCGUAACACCCCUUUUUCAGUGUGAUAUAACAGGUUGGAAAUUUAUUAUUAUUUAGUAAACGAUCGGGGUUUUCUAAAUGUAUUUCAAACUGGUUAUUAGUUUCAUUUAUGUUUGGAAAUGUAUUAUAUGUUUGUAAAUUUAACAAAGCAAUUUCCGAGUCAUCGUACACAUCAAUUGCUGGAAAAUAAUGUACAGAUAAUGUAGUUGUAUUACCAGUUAAACUUAAUGUAAUUGAUUCAUACAUUGUAAAAAUUCAAGACAUAAAUGUCCACAAUUAAAUGAAUUAAAAUCUUGAUAAUUUGAAUAGUUAUAUAUAAUCGUGUUUCCUUUGAAAUAGUUUUGUAAUUCAAUUGGUGGAGGUAAAUCACCGAAGCUAUCAAAAUAUACAACCUUAUCUUUAAUUUUGUAAAACGCUACCCAAUGACUUCCAUCACCUGAAGAUAUGUCUAAGUUUAAAAUACCACAUUCAAUUGUUCGUGGUUUUUUAGGUUGAGCACACUAUCUUUCACUGGUUAUAAAUUUAAAAGAUCCAGAGUAUUUAUAAGAAAAAAAAAUGGAUUUGAUUGAACAGAAAGAUAAAUUAGAUAUUUCGAACGUUGAUACUCAAAUAAUAAAAAAAACGUCAAGACAUGGACCGUUAUUACCUGAUACUAUACGUGCUAUUAUAGUCGGUCCUAGUGGUUCAGACGCUGAUAAAGUUAUAAAACCGAAUUUAACUAAAAAGAAUUCUGUAAUAAUUUUCGAUGAUGUUUUAUGUGGUCCGCAGUCGAUAAUAAGAGAAUAUUUCGGAAUGUGUAGACAUUCAGGUGCUAGCUCUGUAUUCUAUUUAGCACAAACAUAUUCUAAAAUUCCGAAGCAACUGGUAUGGAUUUCUCAGAAUUUCGGAAAAUUUCUCAUUUCUGCUGGAAUCAUAGUGAUUACGGAUUUAUGGUUAUUGAUAAAACACGUGAAAUAAGGUGAGAUUGGCAGCCCCUUGAACACCCUCAAGUACCAGCUCGUUAUGCAACAGAGCGGAACCAAGGUGUUGGUACAAAAGGCCAAUGUGUUUCAAAUUAUGAUUGCCGACUCAAAAAGUCCACAGGUGCAAAGCGCUAUCGAGGGCGUUAUGGAGGCGGUAGACGCAAGUAAGGUCUGCCAAGACAAGGUGACAAGGGCGUUUAAGGCAGCAGUACAACAGGUUAGAGAGCAACAGGAACAACGACUCGCAGUCAGCACAAGCGAAAAGGUUCUAACACCGAAAUGCGCAGUGUGCUCUGAAUCACGGACAGAGCAAACAACUAAAACCGAAGGCGAACGAACAAGUAAAGGGCCAGCAAGGCAUGAUGAGAAGUUGCCCCGUGCCGACGCAGAGGCUAAAUACGCAAAACUCCUGGACUCCCUGGCAACCACUGUGGAAUCCUUGGAGAAGGCUGUGCAAGCGGCACCUAACACGAAAUUAAAUAUAAAAACAGCCGUAAAGAAGAUGGGAGCCGACUUCAGGGAUUUUUCAGGCCAUGCCAAGCAGCUGGGGUUGACAAGAAACCCUGAUGCGCUUGAAAUCAGUGCUAGACAGUUGCAGCAACAACAAGCGCAACAGCACGCUCUGACCUUAAAACUGCUGAGAGAAAUCAGGGAAGAGCAGGUGCGGCAGAAUCUGACAACUGUCGCUGGGACGGACUUCUUCCAACCGUCACAGGGCACCCAGGUGAUGGCGGUUGCGGAGGCACCCUAAGAGCUGGCCCAGAGUGGGACUGCCAAGAAACCUGUGCAAAAGGCUAAGGGCCAGCGGCGGCAACAGCAGCAACAGCAGCCGCAACGGCAGGAGCGACAGCAACUACAGGAACAGCAGCACCGAGAAGGGCCAGAAGAGGCAACGAAAUGGACGAAGGUUGUUCGGCGGAAGAAAGCUUAACCAAUAGGCUAAGGCACAGCAGGGAAAGUAGAAAACGGGACCCGACCAAGGUCCAGGAAUAAAAGAAACGAGGCUGCCAGACUGGUGAAGAGCAGGAUCCCAAAGACAGAGGCAAUAAUUAUAGACCGAUUGGCCGAGGGGGAAACCUACGCCUCGGUAAUGAAGAGGGUAACCGCCAUCGACCUAAACCCGCUCGGUGUCACGGUGAAGGGCGCCAAACGCUCCAAGGCGGGCGGCAUCAUCAUCGAAGUGGACGAGAAAGACGAUGCUGACAGGCUUGCGGAAGGGAUAAGUGAAGCCGUUAGAACAUCAGCAGCUGUUAGAAGGUCGACAAGAAGCACCCCCAUCUUUAUCCCGGAUGUUCCAAACUGGAUGGAGGAGGCAGAAGUGGUUUCGCACUUGGUGAACUUUGACAGCAGUUUCGGGACUGUUAAGUCACAAUAUCAGAUAACCAGGGAGGUCGAAUAGCCUUCUGCAGGAUACCAAUGAAGGUGGCCUCAAAAGUGACGGAUGCCAAAAAAAUCCGCAUAGGCUGGGCGAUGUGCAGAGCCAAGCUGUUGGAGAGGAAGGAAAGGGUUUGCUAUAAAUGCCAAGUGACAGGGCAUUUAGCCGUGGCCUACAACUUGGAGGCGAAGCCGAAAGAGUGUUUCAGGUGUAAAUCCCCGGCGUACCUGGCUCGGGAGUGUACUGCUCCACCAAGAAGGACGACCACACCGACGCGAAGCAGGUCUCCAGCGCGCAAUUGCCAGGAGCCUGGAGAGGGACCCCCCUCCAAAUGACGAAGUACGUACAGUGUAACUUGAACCACUGCAGAGUGGCUCAGGAUCUACUCAACCAAUACAUGGUGGAGCAAAAGGUGGAAGUCGCCCUCAUCAGCGACCCGUACAGAGUGGACGGUUCCUAAAAUGCAUGGUAUGCAGAUACCGGGUUGCGGAGAGCGGCAAUUCACAUACCGAGAGGAGGCGUUACGAUUGGCAAUGUUGUGCGCGACGCAGAAUUUGUGGCGGUGCGUUUGAACGGGGUGCAGGAUAUACAGCUGCUAUGCCUCCCCUAACAGACCACUGGACCACUUUCAGGACCUGCUGCGGAGGCUUGAAGACAGCAUCAGAGCGACCCCGCCCAGUAUCCCCGUUUUAGUGACGGGAGAUUUCAAUACCAGGUCAGCCACUUGGGGUGACUGGGUGAGCAAUCAAAGAGGAGACGACUUGAGUGCCUUGUUGGAUUCCUUGGGUCUCGUCGUAGCCAACGAAGGGUCGACUCCCACAUUCACCAGGGGAGCGGGAUCCAUUGUUGACGUAACGGCAAUGUUGGAGCAGCUAGCAUGUCGGGUGGGAAACUGGACGGUCAUGGACAGCGUGUUUCAGUUAUAGCGACCACCAUUACAUACGAUUCACCGUGGAUGAAACUAGUGCUAGGCAUCCCCCAAAGGAAACGGUAGGCUGGAACACGCUGAACGGAAUCGACGAAGACUCCUUCCAUUGUGGCUUGCUAGUGGCGGAAUGGCUGAAAGGACGACGCGAAGCUUACGAUGCGGAGACGGAGGCGGAUAAUUUUAAUAAUUUUUAUAAUUUAUACAUUACUGGCGGUACGAAUACCGCAACGAACGCUGAUCACGUUGGACAAUACGUGUGGAUUGUGCGACGUCUAAAAACGAACUGAUGUUUUUGUUACCAUAGUUACUUACACAUAUUUGGGUAAAAUAACUAGUUCAUAUAGUUUUCCCUCCCAAACCAAAUUUUAUGAUUUAUACAUUUUCCUUUCAGAGAAAAAAUAUAAAGAAGUAUGCUAUGUUAUUUUAUUGUUAUUAUUUAUAAAAAAAAACUUUGAAUUCUGCCGAAAUUCCCUUCAGCUGGACAACGCGAUACGAUUUAUAGGUCAAAAAGUAAGUGUUCCCCUAACUCAGUGAGUAAAGAGUAAACAUCUUAAAAAGAGCGAAACAUCACUUUAUGUAAAUUUUACAACUUAUGAAGUUACGAACCACCACUAAUCACUGUUAUAUAAUAUGUCAUUUAAAAAAUAAUUUCCUUAAAAUUAUUUUUAAGUAU